AUUCUUCGGCCGCCGUCUUCUUCUGAUGAUGUUGUUUUUUGGAGUAGUGGUCCCACCGGGACAUGUCUCUUCCCGGCGAGCUCGGAUAUGUAGUCCAAGUAUUUCCCUUCGAUCUCUCUGAACGUCUUCAUCAACAAAUUAAAGAUACAAUCAUUAAAAUCAAGUGUUAUAAUAUGCUACAAAUCAAGCAAAUUAAGUGCAACUCAUGAACUUAGCACAAAAUUAUUUGUUGCUAUAUGCAUGAACCGUGAUUGAGCAAUAAUAUCAACAAUCUCAGCGUCUGUGAACACUUCUAAAAGUGAUCUUUUGAAAAUAUUUAUACAAAAAGGUUAGAAAUAAUAAUAAAAAUGGUAAGUUUCGGUGAGGAAAUACUAUAUAUCCUUUGGAAAAAACUGGUUAUUUGAGGAGAAAUUAAGUUGGUGGUGGGAUGUACCUUAAUAAGGAUGAUACUGCAGGAUCUUUCCUGGCAAAGCUGGACCCAAUUAUGGUCAUUGAUCUCAUUACCACAGGUAGGUUCCAGCAUUCUGGAGACGAAGGCCCUCUCCUCUCGAUCAUCCCUUAGAUAAAUGGAGGAAGCAAACGGAAACGAUGCUUCGUUAUUAAUAUUAUCACGACCAAAUUUGUAGGCAUGCGCAGCAAAGGCGAACAUGGCGGCGCCGGUGGAGAGGAACAAGACAGCGGGGAUGUGGAGAAGUGAGGAAGCCAGCUGGGGAGCCCAAGGCUGG
rnacentral:lncRNA from 1 species